UGCUUAACACAUGCAAGUCGAGCGGUAAGGCCCCUUCGGGGGUACACGAGCGGCGAACGGGUGAGUAACACGUGAGCAAUCUGCCCAUCACAUCGGGAUAACUUCGGGAAACCGAAGCUAAUACCGGAUACGACCACUUCAGGCAUCUGACGGUGGUGGAAAGUUCCGGCGGUGAUGGAUGAGCUCGCGGCCUAUCAGCUUGUUGGUGGGGUAACGGCCCACCAAGGCUUCGACGGGUAGCCGGCCUGAGAGGGUGACCGGCCACACUGGGACUGAGACACGGCCCAGACUCCUACGGGAGGCAGCAGUGGGGAAUAUUGGACAAUGGGCGAAAGCCUGAUCCAGCAACGCCGCGUGAGGGAUGACGGCCUUCGGGUUGUAAACCUCUUUCAGCAGGGACGAAGCGCAAGUGACGGUACCUGCAGAAGAAGCACCGGCCAACUACGUGCCAGCAGCCGCGGUAAUACGUAGGGUGCAAGCGUUGUCCGGAAUUAUUGGGCGUAAAGGGCUCGUAGGCGGUUUGUCGCGUCGGGAGUGAAAACUCAGGGCUUAACCCUGAGCCUGCUUCCGAUACGGGCAGACUAGAGGUAUGCAGGGGAGAAUGGAAUUCCUGGUGUAGCGGUGAAAUGCGCAGAUAUCAGGAGGAACACCGGUGGCGAAGGCGGUUCUCUGGGCAUUACCUGACGCUGAGGAGCGAAAGUGUGGGGAGCGAACAGGAUUAGAUACCCUGGUAGUCCACACCGUAAACGUUGGGCGCUAGGUGUGGGACUCAUUCCACGAGUUCCGUGCCGCAGCUAACGCAUUAAGCGCCCCGCCUGGGGAGUACCGCCCGCAGGCUAAAACU
rnacentral:rRNA from 1 species